UCCCUGGUGGUAUAGUGGUUAAGACUCAGCGCUUUCAUUGUUGUGGCCUGGGUUCAAUUCCUCGUCUGGGAA
rnacentral:tRNA from 1 species